rnacentral:lncRNA from 1 species
CCUGGUGUAACCCUAUCACCGCAGGGAAAUGUUCCGAGUCACCCCCCACAGUCCUCACCCGAGUCUUAGCAUCAUCAUACAUAUCCUUAGUCACCCUAAUGUACGCUACCUCUCCAUUCCACCACCAAUAUGACCCCCAUGAGAGAUUUUCGUGACUUCUAAGACCUCUUUACCAGCUACCCUAAUGCAAUUCGCAGUCGUAAGCCACAUACUAUAUGCGUCCCUCAACUCAUCCAUGCCCUCAUAGCCAACAACUUCUCCCCUAAUUCUUGAACUUUUUCCUUGUUCAAGUUACCCCACUUCAUCUUAAGUUUUUUGCACCCCGCCCUCUUCCUACUACUCCUCUUGAUCUCCAGGUCCAUAACUAGGAGCCUAUGAGGAUU